GCAAGAUCAAUGAGGGGGAAGAGUAUAUAUAGGUAAUUUUAAAGAGAGUUAGUGUCAGGUGGAAGACUAACAAAGGACUAUAUAGAAAGCAGCCCUGGAGAUUCACUUUGAGAAAUCCGAUACUAUUUAAAUAUAAAUUGUAUUGGACAUUAGAAGAUGACGAGACCUCGCGUUAUAGAGGAACGGUAUAUUUUGUAUCGGUUGAGACAGCAUUUUUGUGUGCUAAUUAGGGUGGUACCGCGGAAUACUCCUUCGCCCCUUUC
rnacentral:ncRNA from 1 species